rnacentral:rRNA from 1 species
GGAUUGCCUCAGUAUCGGCGAGUGAAGCGGCAAAAGCUUAAAUUUGAAAUCUGGCACUAGCCCGAGUUGUAAUUUGUAGAGGAUGCACAUCUUCAGCAAGAGGCUUUGAGUCUAAGUUCCCUGGAACGGGAUAUCAUGGAGGGUGAGAAUCCCGUACAUGGUUCAUUGUCUCUUGCAUCAUGAAGCUCCUUCAACGAGUCGAGUUGUUUGGGAAUGCAGCUCAAAACAGGAGGUAAAUUCCUUCCAAAGCUAAAUAUUAGCCAGAGACCGAUAGCGAACAAGUAGAGUGAUCGAAAGAUGAAAAGCACUUUGGAAAGAGAGUUAAAAAGUAUGUGAAAUUGUUGAAAGGGAAGCGCUUGCAACCAGAUUUUUCACUGUAGGUUAGAUCAUCUAGGCUCUUUGGCCUAGUGUACUCUACCUAUAUUGUGUGCCAGCAUCGGUUUGUUAGUCGAGAGAAAAAGGUAGUGUGUUGUCAAUUCCUCCGGGUAUUUGGCAUGCAUUUACAGGUACAUCUUGAACCCAGACCGAGGACAGCGCUUUUGGCAUGGAUGCUGGUGUAAUGGUUGUAAGCGGCCCGUCUUGAAACACGGA